rnacentral:rRNA from 1 species
GAUGAACGCUGGCGGCGUGCCUAACACAUGCAAGUCGAACGAAGCACUUUUUUACGAUCCCUUCGGGGUGACGAAUUUGUGACUGAGUGGCGGACGGGUGAGUAACGCGUGGGAAACCUGCCUUGUACCGGGGGAUAGCAGUUGGAAACGGCUGCUAAUACCGCAUAAGCGCACAGAGCUGCAUGGCUCGGUGUGAAAAACUCCGGUGGUAUGGGAUGGGCCCGCGUCUGAUUAGGCAGUUGGCGGGGUAACGGGCCCACCAAACCGACGAUCAGUAGCCGGCCUGAGAGGGCGACCGGCCACAUUGGGACUGAGACACGGCCCAAACUCCUACGGGAGGCAGCAGUGGGGAAUAUUGCACAAUGGGGGAAACCCUGAUGCAGCGACGCCGCGUGAGCGAAGAAGUAUUUCGGUAUGUAAAGCUCUAUCAGCAGGGAAGAUAAUGACGGUACCUGACUAAGAAGCCCCGGCUAACUACGUG